rnacentral:rRNA from 1 species
GACGAACGCUGGCGGCGUGCCUAAUACAUGCAAGUCGAACGCAGUUGGGACGGGUGAGUAACACGUGGGUAACCUCCCAUCAGAGGGGAUAACACUUGGAAACAGGUGCUAAACCGAUACUGAUGGAUGGACCCGCGGUGCAUUAGCUAUUUGGUGAGGUAACGGCUCACCAAGGACACGAUGCAUAGCCGACCUUAGAGGGGGAUCGGCCACACUGGGACUGAGACACGGCCCAUACUCCUACGUGAGGCAGCAGGAGGGAAUCUUCGGCAAUGGACGAAAGUCUGACCGAGCAACGCCGCGUGAGUGAAGAAGGUUUUCGGAUCGUAAACCUCUGUUGUUAGAGAAGCGGUAUCUAACAAGAAGGCUACGCCUAACUACGUGCCAGCCGCCGCGGUAAUAC